CUACGGGUUGCUGCAGUGGGGAAUAUUGCACAAUGGGCGCAAGCCUGAUGCAGCCAUGCCGCGUGUGUGAAGAAGGCCUUCGGGUUGUAAAGCACUUUCAGUCGUGAGGAAGGUGGUAGUGUUAAUAGCACUAUCAUUUGACGUUAGCGACAGAAGAAGCACCGGCUAACUCCGUGCCAGCAGCCGCGGUAAUACGGAGGGUGCGAGCGUUAAUCGGAAUUACUGGGCGUAAAGCGCAUGCAGGUGGUUUGUUAAGUCAGAUGUGAAAGCCCGGGGCUCAACCUCGGAACUGCAUUUGAAACUGGCAGACUCGAGUACUGUAGAGGGGGGUAGAAUUUCAGGUGUAGCGGUGAAAUGCGUAGAGAUCUGAAGGAAUACCGGUGGCGAAGGCGGCCCCCUGGACAGAUACUGACACUCAGAUGCGAAAGCGUGGGGAGCAAACAGGAUUAGAUACCCGGGUAGUC
rnacentral:rRNA from 1 species